GGUUGUUCUUCUGUGGGAGUUGGUGCAUUUUCUGAGAAUGGUCCAUUCAGACCUAGAGGACAAGUUCUUGUUAAGAAUGAACACAGUUGGAAUAAAGAGGCAAAUAUGUUGUACUUAGAGUCUCCAGUUGGGGUUGGCUUCUCUUAUUCAACUAAUACAUCUUCCUAUGAGACUGUUAAUGAUGAGAUAACAGCCAGGGACAAUGUUGUUUUCUUGCAACGCUGGUUUAACAAAUUCCCACAGUAUAGAGA
rnacentral:misc_RNA from 1 species